rnacentral:lncRNA from 1 species
AGAUUAAGCAUUGUAUUUUUUUUAGUUAAAUAACAUUAACAUGAUGGUAUUUAAGGUUUAGUGUUUAGGGUUUCAACUCAGUUUUGCCCUGCCCACCCUAAAUAAAUAAAAAAAUUAAAAAUAAAAAAUAAAUAAAAGUCCAUUUACAAAAUAUGCUAGCCCAAAUAUAAAUAAAACCCUAAAUGCCCAAAUAACUCAAAGCCCACAACCUAAACUCUUUCAGAAAACUAAAAAAAACCCUAGACCCUUUGAACUGCCACUCCUUGCCACGUCAGCAGGUACUUCGCCCGAAGACACCCGCACCCCGAGGUAUGCCACUUUGCCAUUGUUUCAUCGAAAUGGCUAAGGAGCAACUCCCAUCGUCGCUGUUGACCUUCCAAAUACCUGCAAAGAAAAGAGAGAAACAGCAAAAAGCAAAAAUGACAGAGAAAAAAGAAAAAUAAAGGAUUUUGUAAUAUAUGGCUAUAAAAGCCAUAACAAUGGCAUGUAAACUUUACACAGAAAAUACGAAGAACAAAAAAAACACUAAAAAGAAAAAGAAAGAUGAUUUUUUUAUUUUUGUUUUUUAUUUCGAAAAAAUAAUAAAUAAAAAGAUAACAAAUCAUUUUUUUACUUGAGUCGUUUCACCUCCCUCCAUUGUUGGAGGUCUUCUCCGGCAUCGAAAACCCCAGAACCUUUUUAGGGUUUGGCUUGGGCUUUAAUGAAAUAAGGUGUAAAAGGCACGUCGGCUAGGUAAAAGGGCUGAAAGUUUCCUUUUUUUUUUGCGAACAGAGGGCUUUGCCUUCAGAUUUGGUUGAAAAGGGGCUGAAAAGGCUCAUUUUUGUGUAACUCCAGCCACCGAAGACGACCGAUGGCCAUGGCGCGCUUCCAACGGCUCUAUGGCCAGACCUUAGGGCGUGUUUCAGAGAAAAAAUGGGAAAGAAAUUUUUAAAAAAAACACAGUAGAAAUGUUUUUUUUUUGAAAAUUUUAACUUAUAUAGGGCCUUGGUACAACGUCAUUUUGGCUUGACUUCAGAAACCCCAAAACGACGUCGUUUUGAAGCGGGACCCGAUUACUUGACUCGAACCGCACAAGAUCCGCGUGUUUUUAUAUGGGGGAUUUAUUUAUUUACUUAGUCCUUCCCAUUUUUAAUUACUUUUCAAUCCAAUCUUGCUUUUUUUUCCUUCUUAAAGUUUAUACCAUGUGAUUUUGGAUUUUUUUUGUUUUGGUCCCUCUUGGAACGGUGCGUUUAGAGGGUCUGGGAAUAAUUUCCCUUGAUCCCUACUCUUUUUUGUGCGUUCUGUUUUUGUUUUUUAUUAUUAUUUGUUUAUUACUUCUUUACUUUUUUUAUAUAUUUAAAAAUUUAUAUUGUUUAUAUUUCCUUUUAUUUGUGCAUUUUUUCUCGUAUUGUUAUUAUUAUUUUUAUCGUUCAUGUUAAUAUUAUGAUGAUAACCAUGACAUGAUUACUGCUAUUAUUAUUAUAAAUAGGUGUAUUUUUAUUAUCGUUAUAGUUGCUUAUUAUAAUUCACGAGCAUAACUUCUUUAUUUUCUUAUUCUGUUUAUUUAUUUAUUUAUCAUUUUGAUAUUAUUAUUUCAUUUUCUUUACAUUCUACCAUUUUACCUUAUUUUGCUAAUCACUAUGCUAUCAUGUUAAAAUCUAUUUAUCCGUUUUUACACCAUGCCUAAAUAAAUUAAAUAUAUAUAAUUUAAAAAUUUACCUUCGUUAUCUAACAAAUAGAAAAUACUUAAAACCGAGGCAAUGUUCAUUAUUUUUGGAAUUUGGGGAGUUGUGCUCCUAACUUACAGAGUAUGGCAUCUUUCUAAAACUGAAGUAAUAAAAUAUCCUAUUUAAAAUAAGAAAAAAAAAAGAUUUAGGUAACGAUCAAAUGACGAUUAUUCUUAUUCUUGAUUAACUCAGAAUAAGGCAUUUUCUAUUAAAUUUAAUUUAGUUGAGUAAUGCCUUAAUACAAAAAGGGAUUCUGUUUUAAAUUCUCUUCAAAUUUUCAAUUCUAGACACUAAGAUAUUGAAUAAUCAACUAGAUACUAAUUUUGGGCGACAUGAUGGUGCUAAUCAUUCCUCAUGCGUAACCGACUCCUGAACCUAUUUCUUGGAUUUUGUAGACCAAAAAUUAUUAUUUUAGUAAAUUAAACCUUUUAUUAAAAUGAUUUAAUUACGAGGUAAUCCGAUCACACCUCAUAAAAAUGAUUUGUGGUGACUCCAUUUUUCGUUUUUUAAAAUAAAAGUCGAUUUCCAAAAAAAAAGUUUUGAUAGCUUGGCGACUCAACUGGGGACAAAAUAAAAGAGUUAAGCUGCAAGUUGAUUACUUUUUGUUGAAAGUUGAUAAUUUAGUUUAAGUUAAUGAUCCCUAAAUUGCGUUUCAUCCUUCAUGUUUCGUCUUUGAUAUCUCGAGUUACAUAGCGAUAUAGUACAUCUAUUUUAUUGGCCUGAGAGUUUCUCUUUGUAUGUUUUCACAUAUACUGCAUUGCAUAUUCGUUCCAUUUUACCCUCUUUAAGUAAGAGUGAGAAGAUAAUUCUUCGUGAGGUAUUCACCUUCAUAUAUGAUAGUGGAUCGCUUUGGGGACACAUCCAUACUUAUGUCACCACGAGGUCUUCACAUUCGUAUAGCCAUAGGGAAAUGUAUUCCGUUGAACCAAACUUGGUCCGUAUGAGCCUAUAAUGGGGGACGAUUGAAGAAUCUACCGGUUUAGGUACCCUUAUGUUAGAACCGAACCAUAUAUAAUAAGCUCUAAGAACCUACCUUAGGUAUAAGCAUACCAAACCCCUAGUGGUUACCCGAAUUGAUGUUUUAUUUAUUAUUUCUUACUUUGUAUUCUAGCUUUGUAUGAAAUGUACUAACUUAUUUCGUUGUGUUUUGGUUGUAAUUGCAUUACAUUUUCAUCAUAAAAAAGGUUAUUGAUUUACGUUCAGUUGUUAAAUAAAGAGAUUGUCAUGGAAAAAUAAUUUCUUGAUAAAAUAAAAAACAAUGUAACCGUACAAAUAUGGUCUAAGAAGACACAACAAGAGAAGGGUGACAGCCUAACGAAGGAAUAUAUGUUAGAACUAUGAGAUUUCGCUUACAUCAAUGUAACUCAGAAUAAUCUUUAAGAGUUGAAAAAAAUAUGAGACCAAUUGGAUGAUGAAACCAAGCAGUUAUUCUACCGUGAAAAUGGUGAUUUGCCUUAUUUACUCGAUGUCAAAUUGAUAAGUGCUUAUUCCGAGAUCUUACCCAGUAUUGGAAUCCUGCCUAUAGCUGCUUCACUUUUGAGAAGAUAGACUUGGUGCCAACCGUAGAAAAGUACACAACUCUACUACGUUACCCGAGAAUCUAAGUCGACAAAGUUUAUUCUAGAGUUGCCAACGUGUCGACUUUCUUAAAGAGGCUAAUAAGCAUAACUGGGAUGAACGAGUAAUGGGUCGCGACCCGGAUUAAAAAAAAGGGAGAUAGUAAAUGCAUCCCUUGGAAAAGUUUGCAGGAUUUGAUCUUGGCACAUCCGGAUACAAAGAAAAGAGUUGACAUCUUUGCUUUAAGUAUUUAUGGGUUGGUCAUCUUCCUCAAAACACUAGGACAAAUAGAUAAUGCAGUUUCAUAUCUAUUUGACCGGUUUAACAAAAGGGUUAAACCCGUUCAACAAUCUAAAACUUUCAGAUCUUUAAGUGCAUGUUGAAGAGCAGGUGAAUGAAGAUUUAUCGAUCUGCACAACUCUUGUUAGCCUAGUUCCAUAACCACUUUUGGAAGGUAAAAAAGGUUUCUUAUUGAGUGUUUUCUAUAAACUACUUUCCAUUAAAAGAAUUAGUGGCUAUUCCAAGACGAGACAACAUUUCUAAAGAAAAGUAGAUGGUAAUUCUUUAGAGUCUCCAAGAUGAAGAAGUUGAAUGGAUGGCCGAUUGGAUGAUCCCUGAUGAAAUUUUGUACCGAUAUAGAGACUUUGACUGGGUUCCUCUACUCGGGAUAUGGGGAGCUGUUGGAUAUGCCCCUCUACUUAUAUUAAGGCAAUAUAGGUCGAAGUAGUUUAUACUGGCAAAGAAGGGUUGGCUCAAUGUGAGUUUACGUACAAAGGUGAUAAUUACAAAAAAAAGUUUGUGAAAAGAUUUACCACAGAUCCCAUGACAACCCUUGAAUAUGAUUGGUGGUAGGGUAAAUGAAUCAAUGACAAUGUCCCUUCAUAAAGUUAAGAAAACACUCGGCCAAUAAAAGAACAGUUGCAAGUGAUCUCAUCUGAGUUAGAGAUUGUGAAGUAAGACUUAAAAAAAAAUAUUUCGGAGCCAGGGAAAAAGAUAUAAAGGUUGGAAGAAGAAAAGAUCCAGCUAAGGUUAGAUGUCACCAUCCAAAAAUUAAAAGCUGAGAAAUUAAGAAAAUGAAAGAACAAGGCUGAGGAAGAUUCUGCGUCUGUUAAUGAGGAUUGCCCGAUUGGGUAAAACAUCAAAACAAUGACAUCAAGAAAUCCAAGAAGAAAAGGUUAGAGCUUAUCAGUGGGAAAAGAAAUUUCAAGAGACUCGAACCUAAGAAGAUGCUCUAAAAAGGGAUUUGUUAAAAAAGCCAAAAUGAAAAUGUUACGUUUUCUUGACUUUAUGAAAGGACUUUUCAUUGAUUUGUUUACCUCACCACCAAUCAUAUUUGGGGGUCGUAAUGGGAUAUGGUUCAAAUCUUUUCGUUUUGUGAGUUUGGUUCCAAGCGUUCGAUAUUUCAUGGACCUUCUUUUUGUAAUUAUCACAUUUGUACGCAAACUCACAUUGAGCCAACCCUUGUGUUACUGGUAUAAACUUCCCCGACUUAUACUGUUUCAAUACAAGUAGUGGGAUAUAUCUAAAGCUCCCCAUAUCCAGAGUAGAGGGACCCAGUCGAAAUUUCCACAUCGGUACAAAAUUUCAUCAGGGAUAAUCUAAUGGGCCCUCCAUUUAACGUUUUUGUCUUGAAGACUUUAAAGAAUUGUCAUCCACUUUUCUUCAGAAAUGUCUUGUCUUGGAAUAGCCACAAAUUCUUUCAAUGGAGAGUAGUUUUUGGAGGACACUCGAUAAGAAACAUUUUCUACCUUCCAAAAGUGGCUAUGGAGCUAGGCUAACAAAAGUUGUGCACACUUGAUAAAUCUUCAUUCACUUGCUCUUCGGCACGUACUUAAAAAUUUAAAAGUUUCAGCCAAAAUUGUUGGGACGGGCGUGACCAUUUUGUUAAAUUAGUUAAAUAGAUCUGAAAUUACAUCAUCUAUGUUGUAAUACCCCAUACCCGUACCUGAGACAGGGAUAGGAUACGAGGCAUUACCGAGAUUUUCAGAAUAAUUUCAAUUAAUUUUUAUUAUUUAAUAUUCAUUUUCAUGUUUCAUGUAACAUCCUUUUCAUAUAUUCAAUUCAAAAUAUCAUAUAAAAUACGAUACAAUACUUAAAUUGUCAUAUUUACAAUGUUCAUUCAGGAUAUACGAACCUACCUGACUAAAUUGCAGAAAUACCAAGAUUUAGGGGCAUAUUGGUAAUUUACCAUUUUCCCAAAUUUCACCCAAUCUUAAAUUGAUAAUUUCAUUGCAUAUAUUAAUUCAGAUAAUAAAACAAUUCAUUCCUUUCAAUUUAGUCAUUUUUGACAUUUUUACAAAAUUACCCAUAAAGUUUUACUUUUAUUCAAUUUAGCCCUUGAGCCAAAAACAUACAAAUUAGCCAUGCUAGCUAAAUAUUCAUACAUAUUUUUCCUCCUCCUCCUCUCCAUUCCACAUCCUUGGUAUAAACAACACACUUGUAGGUAACAUUAUCCAUAAUUUUCACUAUCUACUUAUGUGAAUAUUCAAGCUGUCCAUCUGUGUCAUAGUCACUAAAUUAUUUUUAUCUUGAGCUACAGAACUCCAAAUUAAGAUCCUAUAAUUUUCCCUGAAACUAGACUCUUAUACCUUCUUACCAUAAAAAUUUCAUAAUUUUUGGUUGGGCCAAUUAAUACAGUUUAUUCAUUAAAGUCUCCCCUGUUCUGCUGUCUGACAAUUCCGACCCUUCUUCACUAAAAAUUAAUUAUCUUCUUGUACAGGAUUCAAAUGAUGUCUUCGUUUGUUUCUCUUGAAAAUAGACUCAUUCAGGAUUCUAAACAUAUAAAUUUAAGCCCCUAAUUAUUUUUAUCCAAUUUUUUAUGAUUUUCUAAAGUCAGAAUAGGGGAACUCGAAAUCAUUCUGACCUUGUCUCACAAAAGUUAUUAUAUCUCAUAAUUUACAAUUCAAUUGCUUAUAUAGUUUCUUUCAUAAGAAACUAGACUCAAUAAGAUUUAAUUCUAUAUUUUAUUCAUCCUCUAAUUAAAUUUCUACAAUUUUUUGUGAUUUUUCAAACUUAAACUACUGCUGCUGUCCAAAAUAGUCUUAGUGCAAAAUGUUGAUUUUCUACUUUUAAUUUCAAUUUAAUCCUAACUAAAUUCACUUACUUUUCUAUAUUAAUUCAUACUUUGCUUCUACUCAAUUUUUAACCAAACUUACACAUAAUUAUCUAUUUUUCAUCAUAAAACCAUAAUUUCGAAAUUCUUUCAAUUUAGUCCUUAAAGCAUAAAACUUAUGAAUCACUUUACAAUUCAAUCCUUAUUUCAUUUCUAACUUGAAUUUCUAUCAAUUUAUCCCUUAAUUCAUCUUUUUUGUUCAAUAAGAACAAUGUCUUAUAAUCAACUAUCUUACAAUAAAUCAACUUAAUUUCAUCAAAACCUUGUUCUAAAGUUUCUAAAACAUUAAAAUUAAGUAAAAAGGGCUAAAUUGACAUACCUAUUUAAAUCUCAAGCUUCAAACCUUGAAUUUUCCCUUUCUUCUUUCUUUUCUCCUCUCUUUCUUUCUUUCCCUGCUUUUCGUUUUGCCUAUUCU